rnacentral:rRNA from 1 species
CCUACGGGUGGCUGCAGUGAGGAAUAUUGGUCAAUGGCCGAAAGGCUGAACCAGCCAUGCCGCGUGAAGGUCAGUGCCCUAUGGGCUUUAAACUUCUUUUGUGCGGGAGCAAUAAUGGUCACGUGUGGCCAGACGAGAGUACCGUACGAAUAAGCAUCGGCUAACUCCGUGCCAGCAGCCGCGGUAAUACGGGGGAUGCAAGCGUUAUCCGGAUUUAUUGGGUUUAAAGGGUGCGUAGGCUGUGAGGUAAGUCAGCGGUGAAAUGCCCCCGCUCAACGGGGUGAAGUGCCAUUGAUACUGGCGUGCUGGAAUGCGGAUGCCGUGGGAGGAAUGUGUGGUGUAGCGGUGAAAUGCAUAGAUAUCACACAGAACACCGAUUGCGAAGGCAUCUUACGAAUCCGCGAUUGACGCUGAGGCACGAAAGCGUGGGUAUCAAACAGGAUUAGAUACCCGUGUAGUC